GAGCUAAUGAAUACAUGGCACGGAGUUGGUGGGCGCCUGAGAGAGCUACUCAGCUGUGAGGUCCUUCCCCUGGACUUGAGCACAGGCCUUCUGGCUCAGGGUGCUGAGGGAUGGUGCUCCCCUGUGAGGGGGGUGCCCGGGGCACCCCAGCCUCCCUCAGGAACUCCCAGGCCCCUCAGAAGCAGGAAGUUGGGCUGACCAAAGCUGUGGUAGCUCAGCUAUAUACAUGGCCCCUCUUGACCCUUCUCUGUGAACUGAGGUGCUCUACCUGACGGCCUCUUCACCAAGGGAAAAUGCUUCAGGCAUUUGGGAGCGUGCGCCCUGAGAAGGCCUCAGCAAGUUUUUGGAGAUUGUCCUUCACAGAAACGGGGUCCCAUUAUAUUGUCCAGGCUGGUCUCAAACUCCUGGGCUCGAGUGAUCUGCCCGCCUCAGCCUCUCAAAUUGUUGGGAUUACAGGCAUGAGCCGCCGCACCCGGCCUGACGAGGCUUCUUGCUGCACUUAAAGGAAUGACAGCUAUAGAGGGCAUAUGGGACUGGAAGGCAUCGGAUCCAUAACAUCCUCACGCCUUCUGGAAAUGUGAAAAAUGUUUCACAAAAGCACAGCCUAAGGCCUCAUGUGAUGAGGUGGGCUCUCCACAAGUUCCCGGGGCAGAGUCUGAAGACCUGCUGCUGGAUAGGGGCUUCCUCCUGGUCCCCAAGGGCCCGCCCUCUCAGGCCCACCUUGAGGCCACCCUGCUGGGCCACUUCCCGGAUUUUGGACAGCAUUGAUUGGAGCCGCCCGUUCUCCUCCUGUAGGACCCGGAUGCGGAUGUCGUUGGACUGCACUUGCCUCUCCAUGUGAUCUGUGACGUUGCCAGAGUCUGUGGGACAUGUUAUCUGGGAUUCCACGCUGCUGGAUCUGCCUCCUGUGCCCAAUGGGACAGGACCUUAGAAGGGAGGCACACCAGCUUGGGCAGGUGGCCUGGAGGCACAAAGGAGCUGUGUAGUGCACCAGGCCUCCUAGCUCAUCUUCCUUCUCCCGAGGCCUUAUUCCCCCUUCCCUGUCCCCCAACCUGCAGGGAAGAUGACCAUAGUAUUAUAAAAUCUGAGAGCUGGGUGGGACCUAGAGCUCUCAAAAGACUUAGCAAGGCCGGGCGCGGUGGCUCACGCCUGUAAUCCCAGCACUUUGGGAGGCCCAGGUCAGGGGAUCAUUAAGUCAAGAGAUCAAGACCAUCCUGGCCAACAUGGUGAAACCCCGUCUCUACUAAAAAUAGAAAAAUGAGCUGGGUGUGGUGGCGGGCCCCCGUAGUCCCAGCUACUCAGGAGGCUGAGGCAGGAGAAUCACUUGAACCCAGGAGGUGGAGGUUGCAGUGAGCAGAGAUUGUGCCACUGCACUCCAGCCUGGCAACAGAGUGAGACUCUGUCUCAAAAAAAAAAAAAAAAAAAAAAAGACUUAGCAAAUAA
rnacentral:lncRNA from 1 species